GACGAACGCUGGCGGCGUGCUUAACACAUGCAAGUCGAACGGAAAGGCCCUGCUUUCGUGAGGUUCUCGAGUGGCGAACGGGUGAGUAACACGUGAGUAACCUGCCCUUGACUUUGGGAUAACUUCAGGAAACUGGGGCUAAUACCGGAUAGGAGCUCCUGCUGCAUGGUGGGGGUUGGAAAGUUUCGGCGGUUGGGGAUGGACUCGCGGCUUAUCAGCUUGUUGGUGGGGUAGUGGCUUACCAAGGCUUUGACGGGUAGCCGGCCUGAGAGGGUGACCGGCCACAUUGGGACUGCGAUACGGCCCAGACUCCUACGGGAGGCAGCAGUGGGGAAUAUUGCACAAUGGGCGGAAGCCUGAUGCAGCAACGCCGCGUGCGGGAUGACGGCCUUCGGGUUGUAAACCGCUUUCGACUGUGACGAAGCGUGAGUGACGGUAAUGGGUAAAGAAGCACCGGCUAACUACGUG
rnacentral:rRNA from 1 species